rnacentral:rRNA from 1 species
UACGAAGGGUGCAAGCGUUGUUCGGAAUUACUGGGCGUAAAGCGCGCGUAGGCGGCUUGCUAAGUCAGACGUGAAAGCCCUGGGCUCAACCCGGGAAUUGCGUUUGAUACUGGCGAGCUUGAGAUUCAGAGAGGUGAGUGGAAUUCCUAGUGUAGAGGUGAAAUUCGUAGAUAUUAGGAAGAACACCAGUGGCGAAGGCGGCUCACUGGCUGAACACUGACGCUAAAGCGCGAAAGCGUGGGGAGCAAACAGG